UUUGACCUCAAAUCAGGUAGGACUACCCGCUGAAC
rnacentral:rRNA from 5 species